rnacentral:rRNA from 1 species
AUUGAACGCUGGCGGCAGGCCUAACACAUGCAAGUCGAGCGAGCGGCGGACGGGUGAGUAAUGUAUGGGGAACUGCCCGAUAGAGGGGGAUAACUACUGGAAACGGUGGCUAAUACCGCAUACUAUCAGAUGAACCCAUAUGGGAUUAGCUAGUAGGUGGGGUAAAGGCUCACCUAGGCGACGAUCUCUAGCUGGUCUGAGAGGAUGAUCAGCAACACUGUAAAUGAGACACGGUCCAGACUCCUACGGUAGGCCGCAGUGGGGAAUAUUGCACCAUGGGCGCAAGCCUGAUGCAGCCAUGCCGAGUGUAUGAAGAAGGCCUUAGGGUUGUAAAGUACUUUCAGCGGGGAGGCGUUACUCGCAGAAGAAGCACCGGCUAACUCCGUGCCAGCAGCCGCGGUAAUAC